rfam:Triticum aestivum genome assembly, contig: Triticum_aestivum_CS42_TGACv1_scaffold_457404_5DS
AUAGUACUCCCUCCGUACGGAAAUACUUAUCGGAGAAAUGAAUGUAUCUAGACGUAUUUUAGUUCUAGAUACAUCCAUUUUUAUCCAUUUCUCCGACAAGUAUUUUCGGACGGAGGGAGUACAUA